AUGUCCUAUUUAGAGAAAGGACUGGUGAUUGGAGUAAGCCGUCGUCGACAUAAUUCCUCUGAUGGCUUUUAACAAUGGACCCCUACGAACUACAGGAGAUUCCUGGCACCAUGAUUCUGUGGACUCUGGUGUCUCUAAGGGAGCAUAUGCUGGAAUCACAGGGAACCCAUCUUAUUGGUAUGGCUCUUCCCGAGGUCACGAUGUUAUGAGCCAGCGUAGUGGAGGUGGCACAGGGAACCAUCGCCAUUGGAAUGGCAGCUUCCAUCCGAAAGGCUGUUCCUUUCAGGAAAGGCCACCUACGAGAUUAGGGAAGAAAAGAAAGAAGACAAGGGUGAAAUUGCAGUUUGAAGAAGAAGACUUUCUUCUUUGAAUCCAGAGCUGGCAAACAGAAUCAGCCAUGCAGACCUUUUGGACCCUUCUGGAGUAUGGAAAACCCACCUAGUGCCAAGCAACCCUCCAAAUGAUAGUUAUCAAAAAAGUAUCCAAGAGGAUCCUGCUGCUGCCUUCUCUGCUGCAUUCACCUCACCAGGAUUCACCAUGCAAAUGGGAAUAAAUCAUCAUCCAUAGUUCCAAGUGUCUACAAGAACCUGGUUCCUAAGCCUGCACCACCUCCUUCUAAGCCAAUGCAGGAAAGCUAACAGAAUGGAACACAAAACAGGAUCCCUUACUCUAGCCGGAGUGUGCUUUUACCAGUCCAAUCUCUGUUACCAAACCAGUGGUGCUGGCGGUGGUGCAGUUCUGAGUUCUCCCAAAGAGAGUCCCUCCAGCACCACCCCUCCAAUGUGAGUCAGCUCCUCUCGCCUGACCAAGUUGACCCGCCGAACCACUGACAGAAGAGUGAGUUCCUGAAGACUCUGAAGGAUGACCGGAAUGGAGAAUUCUCAGAAAACAGAGACUGUGACAAGCUGGAGGAUUUGGAGGAUGACAGCACACCUGAACCAAAGGAAAACGGAGAGGAAGGCUGUCAUCAGAAUGGUCUUGCUCUCCCAAUAGUGGAAGAAGGGGAGGUUCUCUCACAUUCUUUGGAAGCAGAGCACAGGUUAUUGAAAGCAAUGGGGUGGCAGGAAUAUCCUGAAAAUGAUGAGAGUUGCCUUCCCCUCACAGAGGAUGAGCUCAAAGAAUUCCACAUGAAGACAGAGCAGCUGAGAAGAAAUGGCUUUGGAAAGAAUGGCUUCUUGCAGAGCCGCAAUUCCAGCCUGUUCUCCCCUUGGAGAAGCACUUGUAAAGCAGAGUUUGAGGACUCAGACACGGAAACAAGUAGCAGUGAAACAUCAGAUGACGAUGCCUGGAAGUAGGCAUAUAAAUGCUCACAGUUAAAUCUGACCCAGUAAACUCUGUUUAGGGAGUAUACAAAAGAAAUUGUUCUUUUCUUUUCUUACGUUGUUGAAUACUUCAUGCACAAGGGAAAUAAUCAUAUCCCAAAGAGAGAGCGAUUGGCUUGUUUAGCUUUUGUUGUUCUUCCCUGUUACCUGCUUAAUAGAGAAGUUUGUGUGGUGGGAAAGAUUUUUAACACACACACACACACACAGUACAUAUGGGGCGAUGCACAGGUGGGAGCUGGCAGUGCAGAGAAGAGACACUGGUCUGCAGCAACAGCUUCUACUACCAGCCCUUGGGGCACUCACCCCUGUGCUCAAGCAAUCAUUGUCAAUGACAAAGUGACUAUUGAAGUUAUAAUUGUAUUAAAUUAAUGCUAAUAAUUUGGGUAUUUUAUUUUAUUUUUGGCUGCUCGGGUAACUUUAGCCCUUAACCAAGUGUAUGUGGUUGUUUUUUUGUUUUUCUUUUUGGGUACAGCUGUAAAAUAUUUGGAUAUAAGAAAUGUUGUGUUAUUCUUGCAGCCUUGAUAUUCAGGGUGGAUUGUAAAAUAUAAAUUUUUGUGAGAUUUCAAAGAUUAAGAUUAUUUUGAUAACAUUAUUUACAGAUUUAAAAGAUGUGGUUAUCACAGGUCUGUUGAGGGGGGAAACUACUGCAUAAAAUAACUAACUUGGAAUAAAUAUUUUGCAUCAGUU